rnacentral:rRNA from 1 species
AUCAACUUUCGAUGGUAGGAUAGAGGCCUACCGUGGUGGUAACGGGUAACGGGGUGUUAGGGCACGACACCGGAGAGGGAGCCUGAGAAACGGCUACCACAUCCAAGGAUGGCAGCAGGCGCGCAAAUUACCCAAUCCCGACACGGGGAGGUAGUGACAAUAAAUAACAAUACGGGGUUCUUUAGGAUCUCGUAAUUGGAAUGAGUACAAUUUAAAUCUCUUAACGAGGAACAAUUGGAGGGCAAGUCUGGUGCCAGCAGCCGCGGUAAUUCCAGCUCCAAUAGCGUAUAUUAAAGUUGUUGCAGUUAAAAAGCUCGUAGUUGAAUUUCGGGGUUAGUAGGUUGGUCAUGCCUCUGGUAUGUACUGAUCUCACUGAUUCCUCCUUCCUUAUGAACCGUAAUGCCAUUAAUUUGGUGUUGCGGGGAAUUUGGACUGUUACUUUGAAAAAAUUAGAGUGUUUAAAGCAGGCUAACGCUUGAAUACAUUAGCAUGGAAUAAUGAAAUAGGACGUUCGAUCUUAUUUUGUUGGUUUCUAGGAUUGACGUAAUGAUUAAUAGGGAUAGUUGGGGGCAUUAGUAUUCAAUUGUCAGAGGUGAAAAUUCUUGGAUUUAUUGAAGACUAACUACUGCGAAAAGCAUUUGCCCAGGAUGUUUUUCNUUAAUCAAGAAACGAAAAGUUAUGGGGAUCGAAGACGAUCAGAUACCGUCGUAAUCCUUAAUCAUA